CAGCAGCCGCGGUAAUACGUAGGGUGCGAGCGUUAAUCGGAAUUACUGGGCGUAAAGCGGGCGCAGACGGUUACUUAAGCAGGAUGUGAAAUCCCCGGGCUUAACCUGGGAACUGCGUUCUGAACUGGAUAGCUAGAGUGUGUCAGAGGGGGGUAGAAUUCCACGUGUAGCAGUGAAAUGCGUAGAGAUGUGGAGGAACACCGAUGGCGAAGGCAGCCCCCUGGGCCAAUACUGACGCUCAUGCACGAAAGCGUGGGGAGCAAACAGGAUUAGAUACCCGAGUAGUCCCUGUCUCUUAUAC
rnacentral:rRNA from 1 species